AUCAGAUAUCGUGACGUCACAACUUAUUGAUAUCAAUAACAGGAAGACUCUGUCUGUCGGCCAUUGAUUGCUAGUCCAAAAACGACUGACUGACGCUGGUUCAAGAAAUCAUUGAAACCGAGAACAAGUGGGUGGUUAUGUGGGUGCUUAGUUUGGCUGAAAUUUGAUCCUCAGCACCAUUCAAAAAUGGCGGUGGAUGAGCAUUGAAGUUCUGUGGCAAAACUCCAAUCUCUCGAUGAAGUAUUCAGAUGACGUGCAUGAUGUUUAGGUUGGACGAAAGGGAUUGUUUUCAAACCAUUCCCGCCAAGAGGUCCCCUUGAAGAUAAACUGUCUGUUUCAGUGGAUGACAGGUAUGACGAAUAUGACGCCUGACUCUAAUACGUACGUACGUAUGUAUGGAGAUCGUUGACAUCUCUCAUAACUAAGCUUUCACAGAGUCACGAAUGUCACCAUGGCGCUUAGUCCAUGGAACAUAAUAAAUGGCCAUGAUUUGAAGAACCCAAGAUUGAGGAACCACUGGGCGAGCGACUGGAACCGGUUAAAAUAUCACAUAGGAUUGAAGUAUUUUCGCGCUCCAUGGAAUCACACUUGAUACUACAUAGUGAUUGCUCCAGAACGGCCUUGUAUGAAUGGAUCUUGUGACUGAGAAUCAGCAAAAGCCUGCCAAUCGAUAGGCGAGCAAGCGAGCGAGCGAUCCGGAACCACCAUUAACGCGGGAUAACGACGCAUCAGCCACAAAGUUGAAUUGACCCUCAAUGUGAUGACUAUCUGUGGUGCAUUCGGAUAGAAUGGCCAAAUGACGAGACUGUCUAUCACUCCAUGUAAGUGAGGCCUUUGGAGUGAAUGGCGGCCAUCAAGGGAUCAUAAGGAUCGGUGAAAGAAUUGAGGAGUUCUUCCUCGACCGCCAAAAGUUCCCGCCGAUCCAAAGCACUGUAUUUGCCCUCUGCUUUUGAGAGAACGCGAGAGUCAAAAGCCAAUGAGGGUUCCCAGCCAUUUGAAUUCAGACUUCUACUCCAACACGGCACCCAAUCCAGAGUCUGUAGCAUCCGCGGUGACUGUAAGCGGGAUAUGUGAUCGCGGAAAACCAACCAUGUACGAUUAGAUAAGGUUCAAUGAAGACGUUCAAGGGCAGUAUCAUGCAAUGAUAUGUUAACCACUUGAAUGGAACUUUCGGUUUCAGGAGAUCUCUGAACGGAUGGACGAGCAUGGAACGAACAUCUUGGGAUGAAUAAACCGAUGAUAAUAGUUAAUGAGCCCACCACCAAGAAGCUUUUGUAGACCUUGAACAUCGUUUGGAGUUGGGUAAUUGAUCAAUAAUGUCUUGAACUCGAUUUAGAAGCAGCUCAUUUCCAGACGCUGAAAUCGUAUGGCCCCAAACACGCGUGUGAGCAAGGAGCUCACAAUAAGACCGUAUGAUUCCAGACAACGAAAGAGAGAUUGAGGAUGCUGGAAAUGUUCAGCUGAAGAAGAGGAGGCAACCCAAAUAUCAUCAACAUAGGCAGAAACUCCCGUUAAACCACGGGUACCUUCGUCGAUGAAUCGUUAUUGAAAGGUUUGGCCGGAAUUUCGUAAACCGAAAGACAUCCAUCCUCACAUAUUCAAGUCAUCCAAAAGGAGUUGUAAUUGCACUAAUUGUGACUUGAGUCUUCCUCGGUCAUUGGAUACACUUUCAUCAGAUCAAUUUUUGAGAGAAUGGACAACCCACUCAAAUGAGAAGAAAAAUCGUGAAUGUGAGGCAAAGGAUAGCGAUCUGUCUGAGACGGUGCGGUCAUUGAGGAGGAGGCGAUAAUCUACGCAGGCUCGCCAAGAGCCGUUGCGCGUUGCCCUUUGGUACCAUGUGAAACCGUGUGAGGCGCGUAUGGAGAUGACGAAGGCUGAAUCACUCCUAGACCCAUUAGUUCAUCAUACUCUGCUUGGGGUCAUUUCGAAUUUCAUCUUACUAGAAAGCCGUCUGGGACGAGCGAAAACUGCAUGCAGGGAGGCCCAGUGGUUUGGAUCAAAGGCCGAUCGUUUUGAUGUACACACGUUAUGGAAACUGAGGGCUUCAAUAAAGAAGGAUAUCGACCAA